CGUGCUCGGGGAGGAGUCUGGGCGCGCCUGUGCCCGGGAGGAGUUCGAGAAUGCGGCCGAGCUUCUCUCUCCCCUUUUUCGACUGUGGGCUUACUCGAGUCUCCCGCCUACCGCUCUCUCACGAUCUCCUCAUCCUUCAUCUUGAAGGCUUCUUCUGCUCGGGCAUACCCUUCGGCCCGAGCCAGCAAAUCAGCAAAAUCUCUGGAAUAUUUCUUCUCCCGGGAGAAUAGAAGGUCAUUCUUUUGAAGGCCGCCUUUC
rnacentral:lncRNA from 1 species